rnacentral:tRNA from 1 species
AGGGAUAUAACUCAUCGGUAGAGUGUCACCUUAACGUGAUGGAAGUCAUCAGAUCGAACCUGAUUAUCUCUA